GACGAACGCUGGCGGCGUGCCUAAUACAUGCAAGUAGAACGCUGAAGAGAGGAGCUUGCUCUUCUUGGAUGAGUUGCGAACGGGUGAGUAACGCGUAGGUAACCUGCCUUGUAGCGGGGGAUAACUAUUGGAAACGAUAGCUAAUACCGCAUAACAAUGGAUGACCCAUGUCAUUUAUUUGAAAGGGGCAAAUGCUCCACUACAAGAUGGACCUGCGUUGUAUUAGCUAGUAGGUGAGGUAACGGCUCACCUAGGCGACGAUACAUAGCCGACCUGAGAGGGUGAUCGGCCACACUGGGACUGAGACACGGCCCAGACUCCUACGGGAGGCAGCAGUAGGGAAUCUUCGGCAAUGGGGGCAACCCUGACCGAGCAACGCCGCGUGAGUGAAGAAGGUUUUCGGAUCGUAAAGCUCUGUUGUAAGUCAAGAACGAGUGUGAGAGUGGAAAGUUCACACUGUGACGGUAGUUUACCAGAAAGGGACGGCUAACUACGUGCCAGCAGCCGCGGUAAUACGCAGGUCCCGAGCGUUGUCCGGAUUUAUUGGGCGUAAAGCGAGCGCAGGCGGUUUGAUAAGUCUGAAGUUAAAGGCUGUGGCUCAACCAUAGUUCGCUUUGGAAACUGUCAAACUUGAGUGCAGAAGGGGAGAGUGGAAUUCCAUGUGUAGCGGUGAAAUGCGUAGAUAUAUGGAGGAACACCGGUGGCGAAAGCGGCUCUCUGGUCUGUAACUGACGCUGAGGCUCGAAAGCGUGGGGAGCGAACAGGAUUAGAUACCCUGGUAGUCCACGCCGUAAACGAUGAGUGCUAGGUGUUGGAUCCUUUCCGGGAUUCAGUGCCGCAGCUAACGCAUUAAGCACUCCGCCUGGGGAGUACGACCGCAAGGUUGAAACUCAAAGGAAUUGACGGGGGCCCGCACAAGCGGUGGAGCAUGUGGUUUAAUUCGAAGCAACGCGAAGAACCUUACCAGGUCUUGACAUCCCGAUGCUAUUUCUAGAGAUAGAAAGUUACUUCGGUACAUCGGUGACAGGUGGUGCAUGGUUGUCGUCAGCUCGUGUCGUGAGAUGUUGGGUUAAGUCCCGCAACGAGCGCAACCCCUAUUGUUAGUUGCCAUCAUUCAGUUGGGCACUCUAGCGAGACUGCCGGUAAUAAACCGGAGGAAGGUGGGGAUGACGUCAAAUCAUCAUGCCCCUUAUGACCUGGGCUACACACGUGCUACAAUGGUUGGUACAACGAGUUGCGAGUCGGUGACGGCAAGCUAAUCUCUUAAAGCCAAUCUCAGUUCGGAUUGUAGGCUGCAACUCGCCUACAUGAAGUCGGAAUCGCUAGUAAUCGCGGAUCAGCACGCCGCGGUGAAUACGUUCCCGGGCCU
rnacentral:rRNA from 1 species